UUAAGUUCAGCGGGUAUCCCUACCUGAUCCGAGGUCAAAAGUGAUAAGUUAGGCUUUAUGGACGCCAACGCUUUGAAACCAGGUGCGUAAAAUGUGCUACGCUCCACGGACAAUACGCCGGCUGCCAAUAACUUUAAGGCGAGUCCAUACGCAAGGCAGGACAAACACCCAACACCAAGCAGAGCUUGAGGGUACAAAUG
rnacentral:misc_RNA from 1 species